rnacentral:rRNA from 1 species
UACGUAGGGACCUAGCGUUGUCCGGAAUCAUUGGGCGUAAAGCGCGCGUAGGCGGCCAGAUAAGUCCGGUGUGAAAGUCACAGGCUCAACCUGUGAAUGCCGCUGGAAACUGUCUGGCUUGAGUCCGGAAGGGGCGAGUGGAAUUCCUGGUGUAGCGGUGAAAUGCGCAGAUAUCAGGAGGAACACCAAUGGCGAAGGCAGCUCGCUGGGACGGUACUGACGCUGAGGCGCGAAAGCCAGGGGAGCGAACGGG